rnacentral:rRNA from 1 species
AGAGUUUGAUCCUGGCUCAGGACGAACGCUGGCGGCGGGCCUAACACAUGCAAGUCGAACGCACUCGACCUUCGGGUCACAUGAGUGAGUGGCGAACGGGUGAGUAACACGUGAGAAACCUGCCCCGAAGACUGGAAUAACCCGAGGAAACUCGGGCUAAUACCGGAUAUCCCCACCAGGUCGCAUGGCCAGGUGAGGAAAUGCUCCGGCGCUUCGGGAGGGUCUCGCGGCCUAUCAGCUAGUUGGUGAGGUAACGGCUCACCAAGGCAUCGACGGGUAGCUGGUCUGAGAGGACGAUCAGCCACACUGGGACUGAGACACGGCCCAGACUCCUACGGGAGGCAGCAGUGGGGAAUCUUGCGCAAUGGGCGAAAGCCUGACGCAGCCACGCCGCGUGAGGGAUGAAGGCUUUCGGGUUGUAAACCUCUUUCAGCAGGGACGAAAAUGACGGUACCUGCAGAAGAAGCUCCGGCCAACUACGUGCCAGCAGCCGCGGUAACACGUAGGGAGCAAGCGUUGUCCGGAUUUAUUGGGCGUAAAGAGCUCGUAGCGGUUCAGUCAGUCGGGUGUGAAAACUUGAGGCUCAACCUCAAGAGGCCACUCGAUACUGCUGUGACUAGAGUCCGGUAGAGGAGUGUGGAAUUCCUGGUGUAGCGGUGAAAUGCGCAGAUAUCAGGAGGAACACCGACAGCGAAGGCAGCACUCUGGGCCGGUACUGACGCUGAGGAGCGAAAGCAUGGGGAGCAAACAGGAUUAGAUACCCUGGUAGUCCAUGCCGUAAACGUUGGGCACUAGGUGUGGGGGGAUUCGACCCCUUCACUGUCGGAGCUAACGCGUUAAGUACUCCGCCUGGGAACUACGACCGCAAGGUUGAAACUCAAAGGAAUUGACGGGGACCCGCACAAGCGGUGGAUUAUGUGGUUUAAUUCGAUGCAACGCGAAGAACCUUACCUGGACUUGACAUGUUAGUGAAACUCCGGUGAAAGCCGAAGCCUCUGCGAGCUUGCUCAAGGACACUAUCACAGGUGAUGCAUGGCUGUCGUCAGCUCGUGUCGUGAGAUGUUCGGUUAAGUCCGAUAACGAGCGCAACCCCUAUCCUUAGUUGCCAGCACGUAAUGGUGGGGACUCUAGGGAAACUGCCCGGGAUAACCGGAAGGAAGGUGGGGUCGACGUCAAGUCAGUAUGUCCCUUACGUUCAGGGCUACACACGUAAUACAAUGGGGAGUACAGAGGGUAGCAAUACUGCGAAGUGGAGCCAAUCCCAAAAAACUUCCCCAAGUUCGGAUUGCAGUCUGCAACUCGACUGCAUGAAGCAGGAAUCGCUAGUAAUCGCGCAUCAGCAUGGCGCGGUGAAUACGUUCCCGGGUCUUGUACACACCGCCCGUCACGCCAUGGAAGCCGGUAGCACCCAAUGUCAGUGUCCUAACCUUCGGGGAGGAGCUGCUUAAGGUGAGAUUGGUAACUGGGGCGAAGUCGUAACAAGGUA